rnacentral:rRNA from 1 species
UACGGAGAGUGCAAGCAUUAAUCGGAAUUAUUGGGCGUAAAGGGCGCGUAGGCGGGCGAAUAAGUCAGAUGUGAAAUUCCAAAGCUCAACUUUGGAGCUGCAUUUGAAACUAUAAUUCUAGAGGAUUGACGGGGAAAACGGAAUUCCACGUGUAGCGGUGAAAUGCGUAGAUAUGUGGAAGAACACCUGUGGCGAAAGCGGUUUUCUAGUUAAUACCUGACGCUGAGGCGCGAGAGCAAGGGGAGCAAACAGG